AUGUUACUAGUAUAAGUUAAUAUUACAUUUUUCCAAAAUGUGGAUCUGUGGUCAGGUGACAUA
rnacentral:tRNA from 1 species